rnacentral:lncRNA from 1 species
GGGGUUAAGGAAAAAGUAGCUAUUCCAGGGAUAGGGUUAAGUUCAGAGUUAAAGUGUGGUUAAAGUUUUUUUGUAUUUGGUUGGGGGUUGGAGUUAGUCUAGAAUAAUGAAAAAUAGUGUUUGGUUGGAGUAGGUGGGAUAAGAAGAUAAUGAUUGAUAAAGAAGGAUAAUGAUUGGUUGGAGUAGGUGUGAUAAGAAAAAUAGUGGGUUAUUAUGAAUAUAAAAUAGUGUUUGGUUGGAGUUUGGUGGGGUUAGGUGGGGUUAGCUAACCCGGGAUAAUUUAUUUGAGGUGGGGUUAGCUAACCCCACCCAUUUUUUGGGGUGUUUGGGGAUAAAAUGGGGGUUAAGGGGUUAUUCCACCCCUUAACCCCCAACCAAACAAGG